rnacentral:tRNA from 6 species
GCCGGCAUGUCGGAAUGGCAGACGAGGCAGACUCAAAAUCUGUUGUGGGCAACCACGUGUGGGUUCAAGUCCCACUGCCGGCACUA